GACGAACGCUGGCGGCGUGCUUAACACAUGCAAGUCGAACGGAAAGGCCCUGCUUUUGUGGGGUGCUCGAGUGGCGAACGGGUGAGUAACACGUGUGUAACCUGCCCUUGACUUUGGGAUAACUUCAGGAAACUGGGGCUAAUACCGGAUAGGAGCUCCUGCUGCAUGGUGGGGGUUGGAAAGUUUCGGCGGUUGGGGAUGGACUCGCGGCUUAUCAGCUUGUUGGUGGGGUAGUGGCUUACCAAGGCUUUGACGGGUAGCCGGCCUGAGAGGGUGACCGGCCACAUUGGGACUGAGAUACGGCCCAGACUCCUACGGGUGGCAGCAGUGGGGAAUAUUGCACAAUGGGCGGAAGCCUGAUGCAGCAACGCCGCGUGCGGGAUGACGGCCUUCGGGUUGUAAACCGCUUUCGCCUGUGACGAAGCGUGAGUGACGGUAAUGGGUAAAGAAGCACCGGCUAACUACGUG
rnacentral:rRNA from 1 species